rnacentral:rRNA from 1 species
AGCAGCCGCCGCGGGAAAACGGAGGGUGCAAGCGUUAAUCGGAAUUACUGGGCGUAAAGCGCACGCAGGCGGUCUGACAAGUCAGAUGUGAAAUCCCCGGGCUUAACCUGGGAACUGCAUUUGAAACUGUCAGGCUGGAGUCUUGUAGAGGGGGGUAGAAUUCCAGGUGUAGCGGUGAAAUGCGUAGAGAUCUGGAGGAAUACCGGUGGCGAAGGCGGCCCCCUGGACAAAGACUGACGCUCAGGUGCGAAAGCGUGGGGAGCAAACAGGAUUAGAUACCCCGGUAGUCCCUGUCUCUUAUAC